UCGUCCGCGUGGUUUCUUGUACUCUCCGAUCGUCCUCUCUCUCCAUUCCCCGACCGCCGACCUCCGUGACGCGGCCGCCGACCGUCGAUCAUCUUGGCCAAGGCCAGCUGACCGUCGACCAGGCCACCACCGCCGCAAGCAUCGACCGCCGUGGCCCGUGGACCGAACCGCCUCCAUCGACCUUUGUCCCAGAGGACAAUAUGCUUUCUGCACCUAGCGACAAUGUGUUGGCUGUUGCAGGAUCGAGACCAGGAAAUGAACUGGCUACUGUUCCUCAGUCUCUUCAAGCUCCCAGGUCCAGGUGGAAAGCAGCGGACCUCCAGUCUUGAGUCGUCCAUAAUGCUGCUCACAGAUCACCAGGGUGCUGUAUACACCAUGAAGUUCAACCCAGCAGGAACUGUGACAGCAUCUGGAUCCCAUGACAGAGAUAUCUUCUUGAGAGGACACAAGAAUGCAGUUCUGGACCUCCAGUGGACCACCGAUGGAACCCAAUUAAUCUCAGCAAGCCUUGACAAGACUCUUAGUGUGAGGACCUGUGAGGACGUGCAUUUAGUCCCACAUUGGUUAUUCACCAAAAAAAUCUUGGGUACUUGUAUAGGACUAAAAAGUCAAAAAAAAAUACCUUUCGACUGACCAUUUUGGGUGAGGUCCUACAUUGUUAUAAAUGGUAUCAGAGCGAACUCGGCCCAUAACCUAUGUAGACUAGGGGACGCUACAAUAUGGGUUCAUGGAAGCUAACCAUAGGCCGAUCAUGAUACUUAUGAUUAGAGUUAAACUUUUAGCCUAUCGAGGAUAUCAAGACUUGAACGGAGGGAUCCAUGCGAGCGUGUGUUUAGUCCCACAUCGGUUAUUCGCUGAGAAGAUCUUAAACGAGGACGUUGGGGGCUUACAUAGGGGAGCAUGUGAGAACUAUGCAGGUGUGCGUUUAGUCCCACAUCGGUUAUUCACCGCUGGCCUUUUUGGGUGAGGUCCAAUGUGACAUUUAGAGCAUGUUUGUGAACUCAUGCUGCCCUUCACGCAGAGGUCCAACCCUUGUUGUGAGUGGCUCCAAUGAUGGGACAGCCAAACUCUGGAUCUUCGUAUGAGAGGUGCAAUCCGGACAUUUCCAGACGAGUAUCAGAUCACUGCUGUCAGUUUCUCAGAUGCAGCAGAUGAGAUCUUUUCCUGCGGGUUAGACAAUGAUGUGAAGGUGUGGGAUCUUCGCAGAAAUCAGGCGAUAACGACUCUCCAGGGCCAGGGGGGCAUAAUAACAGAAGGCUGCUAAAUUUAGCAGUGGUGGGUGUAGCUUCUGUAUGGUUUGAUGAUGAUAUAGUGCAAAGAAAUUAGUGAUGGGUGUAGUUUUUAUAUGGUUUGAUGAUGAUAUAGCAAAAAGAAACUAGCAGCAACAACAGUUGCUUUACAGUUUGAUCAAUUGUUCCAUCUAAAUCACACGGUAAUCUGAUAUUUUGAGAAUGGCAGUGUAUGUCAAAAACAACAGAACAACUGCUAAAUUUAUGUUCAUGUUUUUUUUUUCUCUUUAAACUUUUGCUUUGCAGACAGGAUUUCAUUGAUGGGUCACCUGUCGCUGUUAACUUAUGUUACACUUACCACAUUCUUGAUCCA